rnacentral:rRNA from 1 species
UUAAGUUAAUAAGGGCGCACGGUGGAUGCCUUGGCACUAGAAGCCGAUGAAGGACGUGACUAACGACGAAAUGCUUUGGGGAGUUGUAAGUAAACAUUGAUCCAGAGAUGUCCGAAUGGGGGAACCCGGCAUGUGAAGCAUGUCACUCAUUACUGUUAAGGUAAUGAAGAGGAAGACGCAGUGAACUGAAACAUCUAAGUAGCUGCAGGAAGAGAAAGCAAACGCGAUUGCCUUAGUAGCGGCGAGCGAAACGGCAAGAGGGCAAACCGAUGUGUUUACACAUCGGGGUUGUAGGACUGCGUUGUGGGACGCAAGAUUAUAGAAGAAUUACCUGGGAAGGUAAGCCAAAGAGAGUAAUAGCCUCGUAAUCGAAAUAAUCUUAAACCCUAGCAGUAUCCUGAGUACGGCGAGACACGAGAAAUCUCGUCGGAAUCCGGGAGGACCAUCUCCCAACCCUAAAUACUCUCUAGUGACCGAUAGUGAACCAGUACCGUGAGGGAAAGGUGAAAAGCACCCCGGGAGGGGAGUGAAAUAGAACCUGAAACCGUGUGCCUACAACAAGUUCGAGCCCGUUAAUGGGUGAGAGCGUGCCUUUUGUAGAAUGAACCGGCGAGUUACGAUAUGAUGCGAGGUUAAGUUGAAGAGACGGAGCCGUAGGGAAACCGAGUCUUAAUAGGGCGCUUUAGUAUCAUGUCGUAGACCCGAAACCAUGUGACCUACCCAUGAGCAGGGUGAAGGUGAGGUAAAACUCACUGGAGGCCCGAACCAGGGCACGUUGAAAAGUGCUUGGAUGACUUGUGGGUAGCGGAGAAAUUCCAAACGAACUUGGAGAUAGCUGGUUCUCUCCGAAAUAGCUUUAGGGCUAGCGUCGAUGUUAAGUCUCUUGGAGGUAGAGCACUGUUUGAUUGAGGGGUCCAUCCCGGAUUACCAAUAUCAGAUAAACUCCGAAUGCCAAUGAGAUAUAAUCGGCAGUCAGACUGCGAGUGCUAAGAUCCGUAGUCGAAAGGGAAACAGCCCAGACCACCAGCUAAGGUCCCAAAAUAUAUGUUAAGUGGAAAAGGAUGUGGGGUUGCACAGACAACUAGGAUGUUAGCUUAGAAGCAGCUAUUCAUUCAAAGAGUGCGUAAUAGCUCACUAGUCGAGUGACCCUGCGCCGAAAAUGUACCGGGGCUAAAACAUAUUACCGAAGCUGUGGAUACCUAUUAUAGGUAUGGUAGGAGAGCGUUCUAUGUGUGAAGAAGGUGUACCGUGAGGAGCGCUGGAACGCAUAGAAGUGAGAAUGCCGGUAUGAGUAGCGAAAGACAGGUGAGAAUCCUGUCCACCGUAAGACUAAGGUUUCCAGGGGAAGGCUCGUCCGCCCUGGGUUAGUCGGGACCUAAGGAGAGACCGAAAGGUGUAUCCGAUGGCCAACAGGUUGAUAUUCCUGUACUAGAGUAUAUAGUGAAGGAGGGACGCAGUAGGCUAACUAAAGCGUGCGAUUGGAAGAGCACGUCUAAGCAGUGAGGUGUGAUAUGAGUCAAAUGCUUGUAUCUCUAACAUUGAGCUGUGAUGGGGAGCGAAGUUAAGUAGCGAAGUUAGUGAUGUCACACUGCCAAGAAAAGCUUCUAGCGUUAAUUAUACUCUACCCGUACCGCAAACCGACACAGGUAGUCGAGGCGAGUAGCCUCAGGUGAGCGAGAGAACUCUCGUUAAGGAACUCGGCAAAAUGGCCCCGUAACUUCGGGAGAAGGGGCGCUGGCUUUAAGUCAGCCGCAGUGAAUAGGCCCAAGCAACUGUUUAUCAAAAACACAGCUCUCUGCUAAAUCGUAAGAUGAUGUAUAGGGGGUGACGCCUGCCCGGUGCUGGAAGGUUAAGAGGAGCGCUUAGCGUAAGCGAAGGUGUGAAUUGAAGCCCCAGUAAACGGCGGCCGUAACUAUAACGGUCCUAAGGUAGCGAAAUUCCUUGUCGGGUAAGUUCCGACCCGCACGAAAGGCGUAAUGAUUUGGGCACUGUCUCAAC